rnacentral:tRNA from 1 species
CUCCUUGUGGUGUAGUUGGCUAUCACGUUCGACUGUAAUUGAUAAAUCAAAUCGAAAGGUCACUAGCUCGAUUCCGGUCGAGGAGA